UGACGGGCAGCAGAGCAGGGCUGUGCGAGGAAGAGGUGUUCCUUAAUCUCACACUGACGGGCAGCAGAGCAGGGCUGUGCGAGGAAGAGGUGUUCCUAAAUCCCACACUGAUUUCAGUAGGGUCCUAAUGAUGAAGAGGUGUUCCUUAACCCCACACUGAUUUGAGUAGGAUCCUGAGGAUGAAGAGGUGUUCCUUAAUCCCACACUGAUUUGAGUAGGUUCCUGAUGAUGAAGAGAUGUGCCUUAAUCCCACACUGAUGGGGAGUUGAGUAGGGUACUGAUGAUGAAGAGGUGUUCCUUAAUCCCACACUGAUUUGAGUAGGAUCCUGAAGGAUGAAGAGGUGUUCCUUAAUCCCACACUGAUUUGAGUAGGUUCCUGAUGAUGAAGAGGUGUUCCUUAAUCCCACACUGAUUUGAGUAGGGUCCUAAUGAUGAAGAGGUGUUCCUUAAUCCCACACUGAUUUGAGUAUUCGCACACUGCAGGGUUGCCACUGCAGGGCAGCACAGCAGGGUUGUGAUGAAGACGUGUCGUUCAGCCUUCUGCCAUUUUGUUUUAUGCUUUUUUCUUUUAAAGUCCCCCCUGUAAUGUUAUUCAGGCAGUGGUAGAAGCCAAUUACAGCAGACUCUUUUGCACAAAUGUGAUUUCUUGAGUUGGUUUUAUUAGAGGUGACGUUGACACUCUGUAAUGUGACUCUGGUUUGUUAGCUUUUUACCUUCGAUAAGAUAUGGCCCUCCAUUCAAAUCAGAAAUUGACUCAUGUUUGCUGAAUGAACAAGCUAACAACCUAGCUUGUUCCAAGGUGGCUGCGCCCUAGUGUUAGUUACUGUAAA